rnacentral:rRNA from 1 species
GAUGAACGCUGGCGGCGUGCCUAAUACAUGCAAGUCGAGCGAAUGGAUUAAGAGCUUGCUCUUAUGAAGUUAGCGGCGGACGGGUGAGUAACACGUGGGUAACCUGCCCAUAAGACUGGGAUAACUCCGGGAAACCGGGGCUAAUACCGGAUAACAUUUUGAACCGCAUGGUUCGAAAUUGAAAGGCGGCUUCGGCUGUCACUUAUGGAUGGACCCGCGUCGCAUUAGCUAGUUGGUGAGGUAACGGCUCACCAAGGCAACGAUGCGUAGCCGACGUGAGAGGGUGAUCGGCCACACUGGGACUGAGACACGGCGCAGACUCCUACGGGAGGCAGCAGUAGGGAAUCUUCCGCAAUGGACGAAAGUCUGACGGAGCAACGCCGCGUGAGUGAUGAAGGCUUUCGGGUCGUAAAACUCUGUUGUUAGGGAAGAACGAGUGCUAGUUGAAUAAGCUGGCACCUUGACGGUACCUAACCAGAAAGCCACGGCUAACUACGUGCCAGCCGCCGCAGUAA